rnacentral:sRNA from 1 species
CUCCUGAGUGGCUGGAAUUACAGGCGUGCACCACCAUACCCGGCUAAUUUUUGUAUUUUUAGUAGAGACGGGGUUUCAUCAUGUUGGCCAGGCUGGCCUUGAACUCCUGACUUAAAGUGAUCCGCCCGCCUCAGCCUCCCAAAGUGCUGGGAUUACAGGCGUGAGCCACCACACACAGCGAAAGUUUUCCAAAAUGAUUUUUUUUUUCCUGUUGUAGUUCGAUACCUCAAUGCCUAUACUGGAAUAGUGCUACUUCGAUGCAGAAAAGAAUUCUAUCAGCUUGUGUGGUCAGCUCUUCCCUUCAUCACAUACUUGGAGAACAAAGGACACCGUUACCCAUGCUUUUUCAACACGUUACAUGUGGGAGGUACAAUAAGAACAUGUCAGAAGUUCCUAAUUCGGUACAACAGGAGACAGCUGUUGAUCUUGUUGCAGAACUGCACUGAUGAAGGAGAGCGGGAAGCUAUCCAGAAAUCUGUGACAAGAAGCUGCUUA